CCUACGGGAGGCUGCAGUGGGGAAUAUUGCACAAUGGGCGAAAGCCUGAUGCAGUGACGCCGCGUGAGCGAAGAAGGCCUUCGGGUCGUAAAGCUCUGUCCUAUGGGAAGAAGAAUGACGGUACCAUAGGAGGAAGCCCCGGCUAACUACGUGCCAGCAGCCGCGGUAAUACGUAGGGGGCGAGCGUUGUCCGGAAUGACUGGGCGUAAAGGGUACGUAGGCGGCUAGAUAAGUCAGAUGUGAAAGGCAUAGGCUUAACCUGUGUAAGCAUUUGAAACUGUCUAGCUUGAGUCAAGGAGAGGGAAGCGGAAUUCAUGGUGUAGGGGUGAAGUGCGUUGAUAUCCAGAGGAAGGCCGGUAGCGAAGGCGACUUGCUGGACUUAGACUGACGCUGAGGUCCGAAACGGUGGGCAGCAAUCAGGAUUGGAUACCCGGGUCGGG
rnacentral:rRNA from 1 species